rnacentral:rRNA from 1 species
GUCGAACGAGACCUUCGGGUCUAGUGGCGCACGGGUGCGUAACGCGUGGGGAUCUACCAUAGGGUGCGGAAUAACUCAGAGAAAUUUGUGCUAAUACCGCAUAAUGUCUACGGACCAAAGAUUUAUCGCCCUUUGAUGAACCCGCGUAAGAUUAGCUUGUUGGUGGGGUAAAGGCCUACCAAGGCGACGAUCUUUAGCUGGUCUGAGAGGAUGAUCAGCCACACUGGGACUGAGACACGGCCCAGACUCCUACGGGAGGCAGCAGUGGGGAAUAUUGGACAAUGGGCGAAAGCCUGAUCCAGCAAUGCCGCGUGAGUGAUGAAGGCCUUAGGGUUGUAAAGCUCUUUUACCAGGGAUGAUAAUGACAGUACCUGGAGAAUAAGCUCCGGCUAACUCCGUGCCAGCAGCCGCGGUAAUACGGAGGGAGCUAGCGUUGUUCGGAAUUACUGGGCGUAAAGCGCGCGUAGGCGGCUAUUCAAGUCAGAGGUGAAAUCCCGGAGCUCAACUCCGGAACUGCCUUUGAAACUAGAUAGCUAGAAUCUUGGAGAGGUCAGUGGAAUUCCGAGUGUAGAGGUGAAAUUCGUAGAUAUUCGGAAGAACACCAGUGGCGAAUGC